rnacentral:rRNA from 1 species
CGCCUUCAGAGGGGGACAACAGUUGGAAACGACUGCUAAUACCGCAUACGAUCUGACCUCGGCAUCGAGGAUAGAUGAAAGGUGGCCUCUAUUUAUAAGCUAUCACUGAAGGAGGGGAUUGCGUCUGAUUAGCUAGUUGGAGGGGUAACGGCCCACCAAGGCGAUGAUCAGUAGCCGGUCUGAGAGGAUGAACGGCCACAUUGGGACUGAGACACGGCCCAG